GAGUAGAGUGGCGAACGGGUGAGUAACGCGUGAGAAACCUGCCUUCAUCAGGGGGAUAACACUCCCAACGGAGUGCUAAUACCGCAUGAGACCACGGGAUCGCAUGGUCCUGAGGUCAAAGGUGGCCUCUAUUUAUAAGCUACCGGAUGGAGAUGGUCUCGCGUCCCAUUAGCUAGUUGGCGGGGUAACGGCCCACCAAGGCGACGAUGGGUAGCUGGUCUGAGAGGAUGGUCAGCCACACUGGGACUGAGAUACGGCCCAGACUCCUACGGGAGGCAGCAGUCGAGAGGCUUCGGCAAUGGGGGAAACCCUGACCGAGCGACGCCGCGUGGGGGAUGAAGGCCCUUGGGUUGUAAACCCCUUUUGUUCGGGAAGAAAUGCGAUCAGGUGAAUAAUCUGGUCGUUUGACGGUACCGGACGAAUAAGCUCCGGCUAACUCCGUGCCAGCAGCCGCGGUAACACGGGGGGAGCAAGCGUUGUUCGGAAUCACUGGGCGUAAAGGGCGUGUAGGCGGUCAGGUAAGUGAAAUGUGAAAUGCCUCGGCUCACCCGAGGACCGGCAUCUCAUACUGCUUGACUUGAGUACGGGAGAGGAUGUGGGAAUUCCUGGUGUAGCGGUGAAAUGCGUAGAUAUCAGGAGGAACACCGGUGGCGAAGGCGCACAUCUGGCCCGAUACUGACGCUGAGGCGCGAAAGCUAGGGGAGCAAACGGGAUUAGAUACCCCGGUAGUCCUAGCCGUAGACGGUGAUCACUAGGUGUUGGAGGCAUUGACCCCUCCAGUGCCGCAGCUAACGCAUUAAGUGAUCCGCCUGGGGAGUACGGCCGCAAGGUUG
rnacentral:rRNA from 1 species